UCAGGACGAACGCUGGCGGCGUGCCUAACACAUGCAAGUCGAACGAGGAUCACGGCUUCGGUGUGAUUCGAGUGGCGGACGGGUGAGUAACGCGUGAACAAGCUGUCCUACACAGGGGGAUAACACUGAGAAAUCAGUGCUAAUACCGCAUAUGACCACGGUCUCGCAUGGGACUGAGGUGAAAGGAGCAAUCCGGUGAAGGAGGCGUUCGCGUCCCAUUAGAUAGUUGGUGAGGUAACGGCCCACCAAGUCAGCGAUGGGUAGCCGGGCUGAGAGGCUGAACGGCCACACUGGGACUGAGACACGGCCCAGACUCCUACGGGAGGCAGCAGUGGGGAAUAUUGGGCAAUGGGGGAAAAACCCCCUUACCCAGCAACGCCGCGUGAGAGAAGAAGGUUUUCGGAUUGUAAAUCUCUGUCCUCAAGGGCGAAGAAAGUGACGGUACUUGAGGAGGAAGCCCCGGCUAACUACGUGCCAGCAGCAGC
rnacentral:rRNA from 1 species